rnacentral:lncRNA from 1 species
GGGGGCUUGGCUCUCUCUCCUAAUUUCUUCCGACAUCAGAUUGGUAUCAGAGCUUCAGUUCCUUCCAUGGCUGGAUGUCGUCAUCGAGGAGCGAACGUUAUCGUGAUUGCUAUUCAGCGUGAUCUUUGUGAUGUCGAGAUGGAUGAGUUGAUGAGGCAAGUGCAACAACUUCAACAAUAGCUUGAGCAUCUCCAAGCUAUAAACCAUGAUGAGACACAUCAUGGUUCGGAG